rnacentral:lncRNA from 1 species
AUACAACAGGAAGAUGAAGCAUGAAGGUAACUGAUUAUAAAAGGGAUUUGGGGACAAUAAUGCAUUGUUUUGGAGGAAGGAAAAUAUAUUGCACUCAAAUAUCUGCAAAAACAUUGCAUGGAAAUGCCACAUCAUACAGAAUACAAAAUCCGAAAAAGGAAGGUGGCAGUUUAAUGCUUUAUUAACUUGUGGGACAAAUCUGUAAAGUCAUUGAACAAAGACUUAAGGCUGAUUCACACAUGUUUACUCAGCAGUGAAUGGAAUCAUCAGGUUUAGAAAGAAUUAUGUUUAAGCUGAUGUCAGAUAUUUUCAGAAAGUUCUCUCAGUGGUAUUUAAUUGUUGUUGUUGUUUAGUCGUUUAGUCAUGUCCGACUCUUCGUGACCCCAUGGACCACAGCAUGCCAGGCACUCCUGUCUUCGGUAUUUAAUUAGUGGCAACUGUUUACAUACACAGGUUGUCCAACGAACAUGUUUGUGUGAAUGUGGCCAGAAUACACCACCAUGACAGUUUUAGAGAUGAAGAAACUGUUUCAUCACCAGUGAGCUAAGUGUAUUGUGUUCUGCCCUUUGUAUUGAGCUUCCAUAAAUUUUAAUGAAUUUCCAGUAUGGUGGCUGCUCCUUCAGUGAUAUGGCAGGUGAAUCUUAGCUCAAAAUAAGCUGAUCAAAAUGGCAGAACCAAAAUACCAAAGCCUGGAGUUCAAAAGCUGGAGGCAAUAUAAUCUUAGUAUAGAAUCGUUAUUGGUGUGCAAAAGUAAAAUUAUUUACUAGAGGAGAUGGCAGAGAGAGUAAAUUAUGGCUCUUCUAAAUUGGUCAAUGGUUUGACUCAAUAUAAGGCAGCUUCAUAUGAGUUCAAAGCUUCACCAACUGCACCAGCUUGUUCGGAGUACCCCCAGGUAAAAGCUCAUAUAUAACCUGUUUUGGGAUGAGCAUUUAGGGUACCAUUUGGAGAUUGUGCAAUGGUACAAAAUCUGGAGUUUCAGUUUUAGGCUAAAAGAAGAAUCUUCAGAAGCCACACACAAAAAUCUGAGGCAAAAUCUGAAUAAAUGACCUCCAGCCUACUGCAGAGAAAUGAAGAAGCAAAUACAGUAAUGAAUGUUGUGUGCAAUGUGGGAAAACUGAUACGUGUCUUCAUUGCUGUGGUAGGAGCAUCUUGUAACCCAAAGGUUAAAUAUGGCUAACAUGCAGUAAUAACACUGUCCUGUUUGCAAGAAUCCCAAACGACUGCUAUUGACAGUGUAGCCCUGGAGCAUCCCUUCUAUAAACAGAACAGGACAUGUCUGCCCACUGCAGGUAUGAGCUAAAGCAUGGGACUUGGUGGUAAUAGAGAAUGUGACCUCAUAGAUGAAAGAAAUUAGAUUCCAAAAUAAGACUCUCUCUUGCUAUUUAGUGGUCUCCUUUUAUUUUCACAUGUUUAAUCCCCUGAAGAAAAGAAAAAUACUCUUAAUAUUAAUGCUAGGUGCAUAGCCUUAUAUUGGUGCUAACUAAAACCUUCUCACACAUCAUUUUUAUGAUGUAUGUGUACAUUUCUUCUGAGGAAUAAAACCUUUGAACAUUAAUGUUUUGUCUUUGUAACUGUUUGUAUGUGAUACAUAGGCUGCAAAUUCUAUUGAUUUUUUUUAGCUGAGUGGUUUUAUUUUUUUUCUAUUAAUUAAUCAUUCAUCUUUCGGUUGCUAUGAUUCAUUUGAUAUUUGUUUUCUGGGUACACUGUGCAUCAAUGAUAUGCAAGACUUUUGUAUUUGCGUAAAAAUGAAUAAACAGAAUGUGGUGGGUUUGUUUUUUUAAUAGUGUUAAUAUUUCUAGAGUUUUCCUGCAGUCUGUCAGGAGAAAUAGCCUAGGCAAUUGAUUCAAAGUUUGUCAGAAAGGUUACUAUGAACUCUAAAUAUAAACCCAGGCAAAAUAUGAUAUCAGGAGUAUUAUUCUUUCCACAAGGAACUGUGUUGCUAUACUGGAGCCAAAUCCAGCACUACUUUUAAUAAAGUUAUGAUGCUUCUAUAUGUACCAAGUCAGUCUACCAGCAUCUAUUCUGACUGGUGGAAGUUCUCCCUAGUUGUACUGCCUAAGUUCUGAAUUCCAGUUGGUAAGGAAUGUUGUGCUCAUGUCCUACUUAGGGUUUCCCAUACACAGAGGCAGGACAUUGUGUUUCACCCCUUGAGGCAAAACAGGAAAGUGUACACACACACACACACACACACACACACACACACACACCCCACGGCUUCCAUGCCAAAGGCUCUCUUACUGGGGUCACACGGGUAUGGUGGUUUCUGCCAAGAUAUGGUGGAGUUCUUUUGAGAGCUCACGAGAGUUCCACGAGAUCCUGUGAGAUCUCGCCAGAAGCCAAUGCAGCACAACCCCUGCGGUGGCAGAGGCAGGCCUGUGGGGGCGCUGUUUUAUGCAAUUCCAUUGAACAAGGUGGCUGCUUUAAUCCGUCUGCUUUAAGGUGCACAGGUGGACCUUUGGCUAAACCCAACAAGGCUCUUCUUACUUUCUUAUUCCCUGCUGCUCUAAGGUGGGUGAAACCAGAGAAUGAACACAUAUAAAUCAUGGACUCUACUGAAAAGCUCCAGCCCCUCUCCUAUAAAUUCACCAGUGUUUGGCAGUCCCAAUCUCAAUAGCCAUCUGAAACAGCUUUGGACAAGUAUCUUAUAUAGAUGUGAGUAGAAGUUCUUACAUGAUAGAAUCCAACCAAUACAUUUUUUGUAAAAAAAAAAAAACUAGCUUCUGCAAUUGGUGGGCCUUGAAAGUUACCCAGAGCAGUAAAGAGUUCUAAAACUCUGUGUUAGCUUUCUGUUCAUUCCUCAUCCGUUGCCAGAACAAGCAUGCUGACCUCUCUCAGAUCUCCUUAGCCAUCGGAAUAAAAGAGUGUCAUUUCAAUGCUCUCAAAGCCAGCAAGUCAAUAGUUAUUGCAAGAGAAAGAUAUAGUUUAUAUCCCACCAUGGCACAGUUGUCUUGUUCAGUUAUGGACUCCAACAUUGCACAUUGAUUGGUUUUGCCUCUCUGCUUUGAAGUCACAGAAGCAGCAGAAAAAAAAGUCUUCCAUGAAGUUGUGGCUUGUACCUGACUUCCACAUUCUAGCAAACAGUUGUGUGUCUCUGUGUGUUUUACUGCUGCUAUAAAAAUCCCACAGUUCAAAAUAUAAUAACACAGUUCAAGCACAAUAUUGAUUUUGGGUUUAUUUUAAACAAAGCUAACUGUUACAUCUGAUUAACAGUGCAUCAGGUAAUUUAAAUUUGUAGGUGUGGUUUUAAACUCCAUGUUUAAGAAGUUUCUCAAUCCAGACAAGUUGAUGGAAGUUGGGAGCAUAAUAAUCAUAGGGCUAUUUUGCCACCAAAUGUUAUAUAACUUACCCCAGUCAAAUGUCAGUAAUCAGGAUUCUUAAGGGUGUUUCACUCGACUAAAUGCACGAUGCAAACCAAACCAGCGUCCUGUUCCCAUCAUUCAGUAUUUCCUCAAUUUAAUAUUAGUUACUGGGGUUAACUGGUGUGAGACAAAAGAUCACCAGAGAGCCACAGAUCGGGAUGUGUGUGCCACUCUAUAGUUUUAAUAGCAUCACUCCUUCUAUUAGCAAACUUAUGUGGUGAAUGCCAGCAUGACUGAAGCCAAAACGAGAAACAAGAGGGAGGCAUCAGCAAGGGAACUCUGUGGUUUGUAGAAGUACAAUAAUAAAAAAAGCCUCUAAGGGGGCAUUCCCCCUCAAAAUCAAAAAGCAGCCCAAAGAGAACUGAACAUGCUUGGUUGUCACAGAAUGCUAAGUAUUAACUGGUGAAGAUUGGAAAUUGGUGGAGAUUAAUUGGAAAACUGGAGAGGGACUAGAUGAAAUGGAGUAUGUAGAGGAGAACAUGACUGGCUUGCUGGAACACUGAAUGACUGUUAGGGCAUGGCAAUAUACUGCAACAUUUUGUUGCAGGCCGCGCAUGUUUCCAUAUAAUUCUUAUGUGUGGCUAAUGAGUAAGCAAGCUGGCUUUCAUUACUGAGUUUUUAAUACUGCACUGUGUAAGUAAUUAGGGCCAGACGCACUAGUAAAUAAAACAGUGGUUGCUGAAUGUAAAUAGAACAAUAUUUAUAGUGCAGCUAAUAAAUAAAUACAUUGGUUCAUGCAAAGUCAUUGCAGAAGUGUUUUCAUUCUGUGUUUUUAUUCCAAAAACAUGUAGAAGAAAACUGCAUUGGCCUUUGUUUCUGUCAUAUUCCAAUAAACACAGAGUACCUGUUCUUCUGUGUUGACGGCAGAUUUCAUGCACACAUAUAGUGAGCCAGCGGAACUGCAUUACCAGCACAGCAGGCCCUGGCACAUGCAUAAGCAAUUAGACACAGAAACGAUCAUAAUUGAAUAUCUCAACACUUUCUCCUACUAUAGCUGACAUGUCCCUCGCUAAUUUAUCUUCCUCUUUCCUUCCUAGAGAAAUAGUCAACAGCUGUGGCAUCAGACAGAACUUAAUUUGGCAGCUGGAAAGCCCAGAUGCCAGGCCCUGGAAUUUACCUAUAAACUUUUGGAAAUAUAUAUUUCUGGAAACCUUGUUGGGAUCUGAUGCCAAUGGCCCUACUUGGCUUUAUAAAACAAGCCUUUGCUAGUUAAAUACCUGGCUUCCCUUCUGGAAGCCAGGCAGUUGUCCAAGAUGGUAAAUGCUGGUGUGUGCAUGUAAGUUUUAAAACGAGAGUGAGAACGACUAAAACUGCAAUCCUCUGAUCGGUUGGGAAUACAUAUUAAAUGUGGUAGGACUUACUUUUGAGUAAAUACAGAUAAGACUGGGUUGUAUCUGCAAUAGCAGCUUCCACAGGUAUGGAGUGUGAUCAAAAAUGUCACUGCAUAAUAAAAAUGUGCAUAUUUGAUGGGAAAAAAUUGAUCUAAUAAAUAUUCCCCUUGUCUUGCUUUUGGGUUUCCCAGCAGCUUAGUUAAGCACUGAUUUCUGUCCAGGACUUGGAUGGAAAAAAGGUGAAAAUUUACCAGGCUGAAACACACAUUAAUGGAAAUGCUCUAC